GUUUUACUCGGGAGACUUCGCUGGGCACAAAUAUUAGUGUUUCAAAACAGUAAAAUGUAUUUCAGCGAUGAGAUUGGUGAAAGUGAAGUUUUUAGCAUUUUUCACACAGAAAUGGCACUUACACUGACUAUCUAAUUCUUGUGAUAAGUUUUACGGUUUUGAAACACUAAUAUUUGUAUUCAGCGAAGUCUCCUGAGUGUAAC